rfam:Nitrococcus mobilis Nb-231 1099646003873, whole genome shotgun sequence.
UCCGGUGUUCUGCCACCGGUACCCUACCGGGCCAUGCGUCGGGAGUAAUCCCGGGGUGCGAAGCGUCCGGGACACUGUGGCCUCCGCCUGAUACGCGGGCAACUGAACCGCGAGGGGACGUUGUGACUGCCAGCCUCAGGGCGGUCGGGAGC